rnacentral:rRNA from 1 species
UACGAAGGGGCUAGCGUUGCUCGGAAUCACUGGGCGUAAAGGGUGCGUAGGCGGGUUUUAAGUCAGGGUGAAAUCCUGGAGCUCAACUCCAGAACUGCCUUUGAUACUGAAGAUCUUGAGUCCGGGAGAGGUGAGUGGAACUGCGAGUGUAGAGGUGAAAUUCGUAGAUAUUCGCAAGAACACCAGUGGCGAAGGCGGCUCACUGGCCCGGUACUGACGCUGAGGCACGAAAGCGUGGGGAGCAACAGG